rnacentral:rRNA from 1 species
GACGAACGCUGGCGGCGUGCUUAACACAUGCAAGUCGAACGGAAAGUCCCUGCUUUUGUGGGGUGCUCUAGUGGCGAACGGGUGAGUAACACGUGAGUAACCGGCCCUUGACUUUGGGAUAACUUCAGGAAACUUGGGCUAAUACCGGAUAGGAGCUCCUGCUGCAUGGUGGGGGUUGGAAAGUUUCGGCGGUUGGGGAUGGACUCGCGGCUUAUCAGCUUGUUGGUGGGGUAGUGGCUUACCAAGGCUUUGACGGGUAGCCGGGCUGAGAGGGUGACCGGACACACUAGGACUGAGAUACGACACAGCCUCCUACGGGAGGCAGCGGAGGAGAAUAUUACACAAUGGAAGGAAGGCUGAUCCAACAAAGCAGCGUGCGGGAUGACGGCAAUCGGGUUGUAAAGCAAUUUCGCCUGUCACGAAGCGUGAAUGACGGUACUGGGUGAAGAAGCACCGGCUAACUACGUG